rnacentral:rRNA from 1 species
UGCCUUGGCAGUCAGAGGCGAUGAAAGACGUGGUAGCCUGCGAUAAGCUUCGGGGAGUCGGCAAACAGACUUUGAUCCGGAGAUCUCUGAAUGGGGGAACCCACCUAGGAUAACCUAGGUAUCUUGUACUGAAUCCAUAGGUGCAAGAGGCGAACCAGGGGAACUGAAACAUCUAAGUACCCUGAGGAAAAGAAAUCAACCGAGAUUCCCUUAGUAGUGGCGAGCGAACGGGGAUUAGCCCUUAAGCUUCAUUGAUUUUAGCGGAACGCUCUGGAAAGUGCG